rnacentral:rRNA from 1 species
AAUCUUGGACAAUGGGCGCAAGCCUGAUCCAGCCAUGCCGCGUGUGUGAAGAAGGCCNNNUGGUUNUNAAGCACAUUAAGCGGNUANNAGGCUACUGUAGUUAAUACCUAGAGAUAGUGGACGUUACUCGCAGAAUAAGCACCGGCUAACUCUGUGCGAGCAGCCGCGGUAAUACAGAGGGUGCAUACGUUAAUCGGAUUUACUGGGCGUAAAGCGCGCGUAGGCGGCUAAUUAAGUCAAAUGUGAAAUCCCCGAGCUUAACUUGGGAAUUGCAUUCGAUACUGGUUAGCUAGAGUGUGGGAGAGGAUGGUAGAAUUCCAGGUGUAGCGGUGAAAUGCGUAGAGAUCUGGAGGAAUACCGAUGGAGAAGGCAGCCAUCUGGCCUAACACUGACGCUGAGGUGCGAAAGCAUGGGGAGCAAACAGG